AUGAAGGGAAGGGAGGGGGAAUGGGAAUAGGAGAGACAAUAGGAUGAAUCAGACCUAACUUUCCUAUGUUCGUAUAUGAAUAGACCCCCAGUGAAACUCCACAUCAUGUACAGCCACAAGAAUGGGAUCCUAAUUAGAAAAAGUUACACUCCAUGUAUGUAUAAUAUAUCAAAAUACAUUCUAUGGUCAUGUAUAUCCAAAAAGAACAAAAGAGAGAGAGGGAGGGAGAGAGAGAGAGAGAAUGAGAAGACAAGCCACAAACUGGAAGGAAAUGACUGCAGAACAUCUGAAAAAGGUUUGCAUCCAGAAUAGCUCAAGAACUCUCCAAACUCAAACAAUCCUAACAGAAAUGGGCAAGAGUGGAACACACACACACACACACAUCACCAAAGAAAAGGUUUAGAUCUAUACCUUUACAUACCUUAAUAGCAUAUGAGUUAUUAGGAAAUUCAAAUCAAAACCACAAGGAUGACUAUAAUCAAAAAGAUAGAUAAGCUGGGCUCUGUGGGCACACGCCUGUAAUUCCAGUAACUUGGG
rnacentral:lncRNA from 1 species